CCUCAGUCUCACUGUUCGUCCAUGUUGGGCCACAGCGCCGGCGGCUGUUGCCGAUGACAGUGGUAGCUUGACCUAAAUUUAUACCAUUAUCAGAUGUGCAAGGCCAUGCUGAUGAUGAAAAUGGGGCCGAUUUUGGGAAUUGAUUAUUGCAUUGGCCAAAUCGAAGGAAGUUUGGGAAGAACCCUAGGUCUCUAAUCUCGAAUUAAAUGGAGUUUGGAAUGAGUUAACCUCUAACACCAUAGGGAUUUCGCUCCCUAGCCUCAAAGCUACACUCCGGUACACUCAAUGCAAGAAAACAUCACAGAAGAGAAAUGGACUUACCAGAGAAGACGAUCGGAAACUUCAGUAGGUGAGUUCUUGAUCUCGAUUUACACGUUCCUUCUUCCUCUUUCUUCUUCUUCUUCUGAAUUUGAGAAUGGUGAACAAUGAAAUGAAAAUGCAGUGGUUAAGCUCAAGCGAGAUUGAAGCUUCAAUGUGAAGCUUCAAUGGCUUUUUUGAGAGAGAAGUAGAGCUUUGGUGAAGGUGAGGGAGGAGAUUGCAGAGUGACUGAGUUUCGAGCAAAAAAUGUUCAAGGUCCUUGAAUGAUGGUGAUGAUUUUGUUUAAAUAGAGAUGAGGUUUGGGAUUUGGUUAGCCUUGGAAUGAGGUUAGGAUUCUGUUAGACUCAGGUUUGGAUUUAGUUAAGCUUGGCUCACUGAGUUAGUGGUUAACUCAGUUAGUUGAUGUUUCACUCAGAUAGUUAAAUUGGUUAAUGUUAGUUGGUGAAUGAUUGAAUGACCAAUUUGUUUUUGUUGACUGGAUAAUGUAGGUUACACUUAAGUGGGAUUGGUCCAUUGGCUUAAGUGAUGACCUGUUGAACAGGUUUUUUUUCUAGUUGGCUUGGGUUUGGAGAUGGUUGUGGAAUACUCCAACUAGCAAGAACUUGGCACAUGAUGAGGCUCCAAUUCAGCACCACUAUCCAUUGAGGUAUGUGUGUAUUUGACUUGGGCAAGGGUUUGUGGUGAACACAGUUGAGCAAUCAAUUAUGCAUUGGUCUGUCGAAGGCUAUGAUGAAGCAAUAGUAGUUUGUGUAGCCUUGUUUUGAUGCAAAAGUAUUUGGAUCUUUAUUGUGUUAAUUUCAUAUCAAGCUGUUGUACCAAGUAUACAGGUUGUGGUUGGAUGGUUAGCAUGGCCAGGUUGCAAGUGUUAACUGAGAAAUUAUAAAUGUUAGGUUUAUGAUUAAAAGCCAUUAAUUGAUGAUGCCAUGCUGUGAUUUGUUUAGGAAAAUGGUAAUGCUAGUUGCAGGGGUUUCUAAUGCCUUCUGCCGGUCUGCUCAUGAUCUCAUUGUCCUUGCUUUGUACAUGUAAUGUCCAGUUAGGUAUGCCAAAUCAAGUUAGGUAUUGUAUGAAAUGGUUUUGGUUAAUUAGUUUGGAUUGUUUUGGUCUGUCGUGUUGCUGCAGGAUGCUGUUUAGCAUUGGUUUUGUUGGUUUGGUGCAAGGCUGUUGAGAUUUGGUGUGGUGGUGUGCAUGUCAUGAGUUGUUAGGAGUUCUACAGCACUCCAAAGAUUUGCUGCAGGAAAUCAGACUUGGACAGGUUAUGAAUAUGUAAUAUCUAGGCCAGUUCAGUGGAGAAUGGUACUACCAUCCGACUCAAUCAGAACCAAAGGCCAUGUGGCUUGGAUCAAGACCCAUGGUAAUGUAUUGAUUUUGCAGGUUGUUAUUGCUGUUUGGCGGCAGGCUCAUGGUUGCUGCAAGAUUCUAGUGACAGGAUAUGGAAUGGAUCGCUACAGCAGCAGGGCAUGCAUUUUCAGGGCCUGGUACAUUAUUUUGGUUCUGCCACAUGGAUAAUGAUUGGUCAUUGCAGGAUUUGCUGCAGGUUGCAUACUAUGGUUCAUGGCUGGCAGGUUGUGAAGUGAUUUAUGCAUGAUGGUUUGUUGUGCACCAUUAGGACUGUUUGAAAGAACCAAAUGUUGCCAUGAUGUCUUCUAUUAUAUAAGGUGAAGAGAUGGUUGCAGUGAGUCCAUCGUGGCCUUCAUCAAUGGUUUAAUUCCAUGUUACAACUUGCAAGACUAUCUAGUAUGGAAGACCUACUUAGGAUGCCAUGAAAUGUCAUGGUUUGCCAAGGAAACAUGGGCUGCAAUUGAUAUGUGUUUUCUAAUUGCCUUGAGUUUAAUUUGCAUGAAUUUGGGACAUGAUGAAUAAUUAUUCAUGUAUACAUGAUGCAGGGUCAUUGGAUGGUGGAAUUGGAUAUGGUUGUAAGGCAAAGUCCAAGUGUUGAAGAUAUGACCAAGUUCAAAGCAUGUUGGCAUCAAAGUGAAGAAUCAAGUUCAAAUGGUUAAAUCAAAAUCAAACAUGGACAUGGAGAAUGAAAUUAGAGCUAGGACUAGUCAUUUAGUGAUUAGGGAUGACCAAGGAUCUAGGUUGACUUUGGUCAAAGUUGACCAAAAAGUCAACUGUUGACCAAAGUCAACAAUUGGUCAAAGUUCACUUUUCCUUGUAUUUUUCUUGUAAAUCGACAAUGAAUGGAUGAUUAUGGUGAAAUUUAGGGUUUUUGGAGUUAGGGUUGACUUUGGUCAAAGUUGACCAAAAAGUCAAUUGUUGACCAAAGUCAACAACUGGUCACAAAUGCCAAAUUUUGUA